GAGUUUGAUCAUGGCUCAGGAUGAACGCUAGCUACAGGCUUAACACAUGCAAGUCGAGGGGAAACGGCAUUUAGUGCUUGCACCGAAUGGACGUCGACCGGCGCACGGGUGAGUAACGCGUAUCCAACCUUCCCACAACUAAGGGAUAACCUGCCGAAAGGCAGACUAAUACCUUAUGUAAUCCUUUGAUGGCAUCAGAUAAGGAUAAAAGAUUUAUCGGUUAUGGAUGGGGAUGCGUCUGAUUAGCUUGUUGGCGGGGUAACGGCCCACCAAGGCAACGAUCAGUAGGGGUUCUGAGAGGAAGGUCCCCCACAUUGGAACUGAGACACGGUCCAAACUCCUACGGGAGGCAGCAGUGAGGAAUAUUGGUCAAUGGACGGAAGUCUGAACCAGCCAAGUAGCGUGCAGGAUGACGGCCCUAUGGGUUGUAAACUGCUUUUGUAUGGGGAUAAAGUCAAUCACGUGUGAUUGUUUGCAGGUACCAUACGAAUAAGGACCGGCUAAUUCCGUGCCAGCAGCCGCGGUAAUACGGAAGGUUCGGGCGUUAUCCGGAUUUAUUGGGUUUAAAGGGAGCGUAGGCCGGAGAUUAAGUGUGUUGUGAAAUGUAGACGCUCAACGUCUGACUUGCAGCGCAUACUGGUUUCCUUGAGUACGCACAACGUUGGCGGAAUUCGUCGUGUAGCGGUGAAAUGCUUAGAUAUGACGAAGAACUCCGAUUGCGAAGGCAGCUGACGGGAGCGCAACUGACGCUGAAGCUCGAAGGUGCGGGUAUCGAACAGGAUUAGAUACCCUGGUAGUCCGCACAGUAAACGAUGGAUGCCCGCUGUUGGUACCUGGUAUCAGCGGCUAAGCGAAAGCAUUAAGCAUCCCACCUGGGGAGUACGCCGGCAACGGUGAAACUCAAAGGAAUUGACGGGGGCCCGCACAAGCGGAGGAACAUGUGGUUUAAUUCGAUGAUACGCGAGGAACCUUACCCGGGCUUGAAUUGCAGAGGAAGGAUUUAGAGAUAAUGACGCCCUUCGGGGUCUCUGUGAAGGUGCUGCAUGGUUGUCGUCAGCUCGUGCCGUGAGGUGUCGGCUUAAGUGCCAUAACGAGCGCAACCCCUCUCUUCAGUUGCCAUCAGGUUAAGCUGGGCACUCUGGAGACACUGCCACCGUAAGGUGUGAGGAAGGUGGGGAUGACGUCAAAUCAGCACGGCCCUUACGUCCGGGGCUACACACGUGUUACGAAUGGGGGGGUACAGAAAGGCCGCUACCCGGCGACGGGAUGCUAAUUCUUUAAAAACCUCUCUCAGUUCGGAAUCGGAGUUCUGCGAACCCGGACUCCGUGAAAGGCUGGAUUCGCUAGUAAUCGGCGCAUUCAGCCAUGGCGCGGUAAAUACGUUUCCCGGGCC
rnacentral:rRNA from 1 species